GAGUUAGAGGUUGCAUUUUUAAAGAGUAAGUAUUCAGAAGCCGUAUGGGGCGUAUGUUGAAUUCAUGAAAGGUAAAAAUGCCGAAACUGGUAUUGACCAUUUACACAAUAUCAGUUGGGACAGUUAUCGAAAGAGACUGGACUGUCACAUAUGUGAUGUGCUACC
rnacentral:ncRNA from 1 species